GAUGAACGCUGGCGGCGUGCCUAAUACAUGCAAGUCGAGCGAACAGACGAGGAGCUUGCUCCUUUGACGUUAGCGGCGGACGGGUGAGUAACACGUGGGUAACCUACCUAUAAGACUGGGAUAACUUCGGGAAACCGGAGCUAAUACCGGAUAAUAUUUCGAACCGCAUGGUUCGAUAGUGAAAGAUGGCUUUGCUAUCACUUAUAGAUGGACCUGCGCCGUAUUAGCUAGUUGGUAAGGUAACGGCUUACCAAGGCAACGAUACGUAGCCGACCUGAGAGGGUGAUCGGCCACACUGGAACUGAGACACGGUCCAGACUCCUACGGGAGGCAGCAGUAGGGAAUCUUCCGCAAUGGGCGAAAGCCUGACGGAGCAGCGCCGCGUGAGUGAUGAAGGUCUUCGGAUCGUAAAACUCUGUUAUUAGGGAAGAAUAAACGUGUAAGUAACUGUGCACGUCUUGACGGUACCUAAUCAGAAAGCCACGGCUAACUACGUG
rnacentral:rRNA from 1 species